rnacentral:rRNA from 1 species
GGGUUGUGAGGUUAAGCGACUAAGCGUACACGGUGGAUGCCUUGGCAGUCAGAGGCGAUGAAGGACGUGCUAAUCUGCGAUAAGCGUCGGUAAGGUGAUAUGAACCGUUAUAACCGGCGAUUUCCGAAUGGGGAAACCCAGUGUGAUUCGUCACACUAUCAUUAACUGAAUCCAUAGGUUAAUGAGGCGAACCGGGGGA